rnacentral:rRNA from 1 species
ACCGGGGAUUGCCUUAGUACGGCGAGUGAAGCGGCAAAAGCUCAAAUUUGAAAUCUGGUACCUUCGGUGCCCGAGUUGUAAUUUGGAGAGGGCAACUUUGGGGCCGUUCCUUGUCUAUGUUCCUUGGAACAGGACGUCAUAGAGGGUGAGAAUCCCGUGUGGCGAGGAGUGCGGUUCUUUGUAAAGUGCCUUCGAAGAGUCGAGUUGUUUGGGAAUGCAGCUCUAAGUGGGUGGUAAAUUCCAUCUAAAGCUAAAUAUUGGCGAGAGACCGAUAGCGAACAAGUACAGUGAUGGAAAGAUGAAAAGAACUUUGAAAAGAGAGUGAAAAAGUACGUGAAAUUGUUGAAAGGGAAGGGCAUUUGAUCAGACAUGGUGUUUUGUGCCCUCUGCUCCUUGUGGGUAGGGGAAUCUCGCAUUUCACUGGGCCAGCAUCAGUUUUGGUGGCAGGAUAAAUCCAUAGGAAUGUAGCUUGCCUCGGUAAGUAUUAUAGCCUGUGGGAAUACUGCCAGCUGGGACUGAGGACUGCGACGUAAGUCAAGGAUGCUGGCAUAAUGGUUAUAUGCCGCCCGUCUUGAACCCCCGACACC